CCUUUGGUUUCAUCGUACUUAUCUUACUGGGUUCGAUCUACUGUACCAAACGAAAGAAAGCCAACCGAAAUGCAUCUCAACAUCAAGUCAGUAAGGAGGGGAGGGAACCUAUACUGAACUCGCAAAGGACAGGCCAUCGCACUCUUCAGGGCCAGGUACAAGCUACUACAUGGACCUAAAGCCUACCAAUCCUACAUCCACCACCGAAGCGACCUGUCAAGACCCGGGAGACCAUGAUUAUGAUACUCCCGAUACCGUCCAAGCGCCCCGGCUUGGCACGGGAGACCAUUAUUAUAAUACUCCCGAUACCAUCCAAGCGCCCCGGUAUGACAUGGGAGACCAUGACUAUGAUACUCCCGAUGGUUAUAAUGAUGUAUAUAUGGAUACAAACAUGAAUGAUGGUCCAAUCCUUCGGGAGAGACCUGACCAUGAUUACGUAGGCCCUAGUUCUUCCCCCAAGGGGUCUGAAUGUCAUUACGCGAAUGCAGACGGGAUGAUGUCCGGAAGCGAUUCUGAUCACCAUCAAUAUUUCAACCAUGCUCCACCGGGAGAAGAUGGAGAUGAUACUACGACUCACAUUUAUAUGGAUAUGAAACCUAUGCAGAUGCCGUAAACUUCUCUUGGUGUGUCUUCCAUGGAAGAUGGCAUACCGGAUAAAAAAGAA